AAAAGGAGGUUGAAGCUCAGUAUGCUCUGCAGAGCAAAGGAACAGGAAUUAUUACAAUCAACUGGCAAAAUAUUACGCAAAUCGAGAUGGAUGGAUGGAUGUUGAGACAUGGGCUGAAAACACAACAGAUCAUGGUAUCUUGACUUAUAUUCCCACCCCAAUCAGUAUUCAUGUCGCCUCAAACGAUGUAAGUACUGAAGUUAAAGAUGAUUUGACGAUUCAAGUAGUUGAAGACAAAGAAUCCCCAAAAGGAGACGUUGUCACUAAUCUUGAGUUGGAAAGCAAGGAGACAGGGGAAGAAUUACUGGAAGAGAAGCCUGAGUUAUCCCAUGUUGAUGGAAGCUGGAAGCUGAAGACGGAAUUCUGAGUCUGAGCAACUUUAUCUGUUCUGUUCCUAUGAGUUCAAAGCGAGAGCAAGGAUAGAAUCUUCUCCGAUCUUCAUUAAAAUCAAAAGGGGAGGAUUUUCUUAGUUAUUAUCUUGAUAAAUUAAUCCUCUUUGCUUUGCUGUCUAAUAUUGCAGGUACUGUGUGGAAGCCACUGAUUCAGAAUAUGCAUCCUCUAGGUGAUUGGAUGCAUAUAGCUAUAGACCCUGGCUGAAAUUCUGAAACUGAACAAGUCCAUCGAAGACUUUAACAUCGGGCUUCUUGGGAUACAACCCAAGGAAGGUUUAAAAGUAUUUCGUGCUUUCUAGUAGUCUUUAAUUCAAGGCUUAAAUAAGUUUUUGGUCCCUAACCUUUACUAAAUGUUUGGUUUUCGUCCCUCGUCGGAGUAAAGGUGAGUUUUAGUCCCUAACCUUUGUCAAAAGAUUUGGUUUUGGUCCCUCCGGAGCUCUAGGUCAACGCCGGAGCUCUGGGAAGCUCAUGUGGCAUGACCACGUCAUUUAAUGAGCUGAGGUGGAUUUUUUUAUUUCUUUUCAUUUAAAAAAAUAAAAAAUAAAAACACUAAUUAACCUAACCCAAAUCUUCAAAGAAAAACUCAGGAUUCAUCAUCUUCAUCUCAGGAUUCAUCAUCUCUUCUUCUUCUUCUUCAAGCGCAUGAUCUCGUCUCUCCGUCAGGCCCGCACCGCACACCGUCUCUCUGUUCGCCGUUCUGGAUCCACCUCAAAACCCACUACCCACUACCCCUAAGAACCCAAAUUUCCCAGAUAUACGACCUCCACCACCCAAACUCUGAAUAAUCUUCGUUUUCGUCUUCAACCUUGAAGCGUGAACGCUUCAUUCAAGCUCUGGCAGAACUGCGUUUUCGUGCUCUGGCAGAUCUGGGUGGAGAAUGUAGGUUUUGUGGGUGGAGAAGAGAAAAUGGGUUUGAACAUUGAUUUCACGAUGGGAGCAGAAUCAGGAUUCAUUCGAUUUGAAGAAAGUGAAGCGGCUCAAACAUCUCGUGCUGCUGCUGUUAUUUCAGAGAAUGGGGGCUUGGUUGUGAAGAAUUACAUUGUUAUGCUAGAUCCAGUGACUGGUGAGGCUGAAAAAGAAUACUGUAGAAUAAAUGAGUUGGGGGUAUUUGUGUUAGAAAUGGAACCAGAGCACUGCCAACACUUGUGAAUUCCACCGUGAAUGCAAUAGAGGCCUAACUCUGUUUUGACAUACAUGUUGAACUUGGUAAGUUUAGUUGAGCUUAGAAGAGACUUGGUAGGUUUUCUUGAGGCCUCAUCAUUUUGUUGAAAAGCAUAUUCCUUAGUUGCCCCCUUUGAGUCUUAAAUUUAUAUUUCUUUCUACCUUGGAACAACUGGAAUAUCUAACUUAGUGAGUGUUUGUAAUUUUGUGUUGAGCAGGAAAAAAUUGAAAGUUGAGUCCCUUUCUACCAAAAAUUAUGCAAGGAAAUUGUGCAGAAAAAAUAAGCAAAGUGCAAAAGAAAAAGAAAAAGAAAAUGACAAAAGUCAUAUGCGCUUAAAAAGAAAAAGAAAAAAAUCAAAAGCACUUAGCAAAAGCAUAAGUAGAAAGGGGGAAAACUCAUAUUUGUUCUUAAUAGUCUGCUUGAAUUGUAAUGUUUUAAAUAAUCACUCACUAAGGCUUUCAAACAAUAAUGAGCCCUUUGAAUUCCCUUUUCUUGAUUAUCCUACCUUAGCCCAGCCAAGUUACAUCCUUGAUUCGGUCUCACUGCUCUUUUAUUCUUUCUUUGUUUGAUGUGAUUGAUAACCAGAGUCAAGGUUUUGUACAGGUUUGUCAGAUGCACCCCAAAAAUGGUAAGAUGAGUGCUCAUGUGAGAUUUGAUGAACUCUUGUUAGUUUUGUUAUGCUUGCUUAUUAUCUUUGUGAAAGAUUUGUGUUCAACUAAUCUCAUUUGUUUGAUGUGCUUUGAGUCUCAAGAA